rnacentral:rRNA from 1 species
GGCUACAGUAUAUGCAAUUUCUUACGCCUGAUCUCGUCCGAUCUCGGAAGCUAAGCAGGGUCGGGCCUGGUUAGUACUUGGAUGGGAGACCGCCUGGGAAUACCAGGUGCUGUAAGCU